ACGGAAGGCAGCAGUGGGGAAUAUUGGGCAAUGGGGGGAACCCUGACCCAGCAACGCCGCGUGAGGGAAGAAGGUUUUCGGAUCGUAAACCUCUGUCCUUGGUGAAGAGUAAGAGACGGUAACCAGGGAGGAAGCCCCGGCUAACUUCGUGCCAGCAGCCGCGGUAAUACGAGGGGUGCAAGCGUUGUUCGGAAUCACUGGGCGUAAAGGGAGCGUAGGCGGAGAUGCAAGCAGUCUGUACAAUCCCGGGGCCUAACCCCGGAUCUGCAGACUGGACUGUGUCUCUUGGAUAGUUCAGGGGCAGGCGGAAUUCCUGGUGUAGCGGUGGAAUGCGUAGAGAUCAGGAAGAACACCGAUGGCGAAGGCAGCCUGCUGGGGACUCAUCGACGCUGAGGCUCGAAAGUGCGGGUAGCAAACAGGAUUAGAUACCCUGGUA
rnacentral:rRNA from 1 species